UACGAAGGUCCCAAGCGUUAUCCGGAUUUAUUGGGCGUAAAGGGCGCGUAGGCGGCCUGGCAAGUGGAUGGUGAAAUCCCUCGGCUUAACCGAGGAACUGCCAUCCAGACUGCUUGGCUUGAGACCGGGAGAGGUGAGUGGAAUUCCCAGUGUAGCGGUGAAAUGCGUAGAUAUUGGGAGGAACACCAGUGGCGAAGGCGGCUCACUGGACCGGUACUGACGCUGAGGCGCGAAAGCGUGGGGAGCAAGCGGG
rnacentral:rRNA from 1 species